rnacentral:rRNA from 1 species
UACGUAGGGGGCAAGCGUUGUCCGGAAUUAUUGGGCGUAAAGGGCUCGUAGGCGGUUCGUCACGUCGGGAGUGAAAACUCGGAGCUUAACUCCGAGCCUGCUUCCGAUACGGGCAGACUAGAGGUAGGCAGGGGAGAGCGGAACUCCUGGUGUAGCGGUGGAAUGCGCAGAUAUCAGGAAGAACACCGGUGGCGAAGGCGGCUCUCUGGGCCUUACCUGACGCUGAGGAGCGAAAGCGUGGGGAGCAAACAGG